rnacentral:rRNA from 1 species
UACGGAGGGUGCAAGCGUUGUCCGGAAUCACUGGGCGUAAAGGGCGCGUAGGCGGCUCAUGAAGGCUGUGGUGAAAGUCCGGGGCUCAACCCUCGGAUCGGCCGUGGCGACUCGUGGGCUGGAGCACUGUAGAGGCGGGUGGAAUUCCGGGUGUAGCGGUGGAAUGCGUAGAGAUCCGGAAGAACACCAGUGGCGAAGGCGGCCCGCUGGGCAGUGGCUGACGCUGAGGCGCGACAGCGUGGGGGAGCAAACAGG